GAGGAAUAUUGGUCAAUGGGCGAGAGCCUGAACCAGCCAAGUCGCGUGAAGGAUGACUGUCUUAUGGAUUGUAAACUUCUUUUAUACGGGAAUAACAAGAGCCACGUGUGACUCCCUGCAUGUACCGUAUGAAUAAGCAUCGGCUAACUCCGUGCCAGCAGCCGCGGUAAUACGGAGGAUGCGAGCGUUAUCCGGAUUUAUUGGGUUUAAAGGGUGCGUAGGCGGCCUGUUAAGUCAGCGGUGAAAUCUAGGAGCUUAACUCCUAAAUUGCCAUUGAUACUGGCGGGCUUGAGUGUAGAUGAGGUAGGCGGAAUGCGUGGUGUAGCGGUGGAAUGCAUAGAUAUCACGCAGAACUCCGAUUGCGAAGGCAGCUUACUAAGGUACAACUGACGCUGAAGCACGAAAGCGUGGGUAUCAAACAGGAUUAGAUACCCUGGUAGUCCACGCAGUAAACGAUGAUAACUGGGCGUAUGCGAUAUACAGUAUGCUCCUAAGCGAAAGCGUUAAGUUAUCCACCUGGGGAGUACGCCGGCAACGGUG
rnacentral:rRNA from 1 species